rnacentral:rRNA from 1 species
GUGGGGAAUAUUGCACAAUGGGGGAAACCCUGAUGCAGCAACGCCGCGUGAGUGAUGAAGGCCUUCGGGUUGUAAAGCUCUGUCUUCAGGGACGAUAAUGACGGUACCUGAGGAGGAAGCCACGGCUAACUACGUGCCAGCAGCCGCGGUAAUACGUAGGUGGCAAGCGUUGUCCGGAUUUACUGGGCGUAAAGGGAGCGUAGGCGGAUACUUAAGUGGGAUGUGAAAUACCUGGGCUUAACUUGGGUGCUGCAUUCCAAACUGGGUGUCUAGAGUGUUGGAGAGGAAAGUGGAAUUCCUAGUGUAGCGGUGAAAUGCGUAGAGAUUAGGAAGAACACCAGUGGCGAAGGCGACUUUCUGGACAAUAACUGACGCUGAGGCUCGAAAGCGUGGGGAGCAAACAGG